rnacentral:rRNA from 1 species
UCAUAUGCUUGUCCCGAAGCUUAAGCCAUGCAUGUAUCUGAAUAAUUAGUAGCUAGAUCCCGAAUCUGCGAACGGCUCCGUAUAUCUGUUACCACCCACCAUCGUCGAAUAGACUGGAUAACCUCGGUAAUUCUGAGGCUAAUACGUGUACUCNGGGUGGGCCCCGCUUGGGGCCCGCUCGGUCUUGCCAGGAAACCAACGGGGGGCCUGGCCCCCUCGAGUGAGUACAGGCAAGGGUACCUGAGUGUGGCAGAGGCCGCACUGCGUAUGACGGGUGUCAGACCUAUCAACUAGAUGGCCAGGUAGAGCCUGGCCAUGGUUUUAACGGGUACAGAGGAUCAGGGUUCGGUCCUGGAGAGGUAGCCUGAGAGAUCGCUACUACUUCUAAGGAAGGCAGCAGGCGCGCAACGUUCCCAAUGGGGACACCCUGAGGACGUGAAGGGACAUACCAAUGCCCGGCCCUUAAAGCCGGGCAAUUGGAAUGGGGGAGAUCCAAACCCCGCACCGAGUAACAAUUGGAG